AAGGAUACACACCAACCUGAUUAUAAAUCUCUACAUCCUCAACUUAAAAAGAAAAGUAAGCCUAGACUCUUUGCAUUGUUUUUAAUUAUAUCUGACCACUUCAGUUAGAUUUUCUUGUCCACUUCUAAAGAAUCUACCUAGGGAUGUCAAACAGGUUUACCCAUCCCGUUCCGUCCCAUACCGCAGCGGGUUAGUCGUCGAGCGGGUUACAGCGGGCCUGUCCCGCGCGGGCUGCGGUCUUCAAAAUACCGGCCCAAACCCGUACCGCAAAAUAUAUAGGCCUUCGCGGGCCGUCCCGCGGGACGCCUCCUUAUCAAACUGCCUACUACAGUUUUUUUUUCAUGAAUGCUCAAGUAUAAGAGUUGUGUAAGAGAAUUGAAGAGAGCUCAUUUAGCUUCACUAAAGACUUAUCAAAAUCAAUGCCACAAAGCUCCGUUUGUGCUUGCGUUCUUGAGUUAAAAGCCUUCUUUUGUUAUCAGCAUAAGCUUUUGUUGAGUUUGAAUAUGAUUGAGUUAUUAUCUUUGUAAUAAGUUGGCUCAAGUGUUUUAUGUCUUCAUCAAACCAUCACUCUUUUUAAUUAUUUGGAUUGCAAAGAAAAUCGUGAAUCACUUUACCAAAUUAUACAAGUGAAUGUUUAAUACAACUAACUUUUCUCCUAAACAACACCACUGUAACCAAAUUUAAUUUAAGAAAAACACCACUUCACAAUACUGAAAACAAAACCAAUCAACUUAAACAAGAAAUAUCACAUUGUAAUAAAGCAAUUCAUAGUUGUGUGAAAUAAAAAGAGAAAACCAAAUCAAAACAACACCAGAGCUCGAAUCGUCAUCGCUGGAGCUGGAAUCGUCAUCGCCGGAGCUCGAACCAUCAUCACCGGAGCUCGAAUCAUGCAUCAUCGCCGGAACUCCUUAUGUUUUAUGGGAGAAAAGUCACAAGAAUCCUUUCUCUCUCUCUCUCUCUCUCUCUCUCUCUCUCUCUCUCUCUCAAUGUUUUAGGCGAAAGCAGAAAUGGGGACUUAGGGUUGCGGGUCUUCAAAAUCCCGCGGGUUAAGCCCAUCCCGUUUUCGACCCGUCCCGCUUUUGACCCGUCCCGCUUUUGACCCGUCCUACUUGAACCCGUCCCGCGAGGCCCGCAAUUUUGCGGGCUUACCAAAUGGAGGCCCAAUCCCGCCCCGCAGCAAGCCUUUACGGGCCAGGCCCGCGGUCCAGGUCCUUAAUUGUCAUCCCUAAAUCUACCCUUCUUUGUUUUUUUUGUUGAUCAGAACCCUUCUUUGUUUUUAACAGUGGGAACAGAGAUGGUAAUUUGUAGGCCUUUUCCAGUCUAAGUAUUUCAAGACAUUAAUUCCAUCAUCACUUACCAUUUCUCAGCCAAAGAUGGCAUCUGCGAGGUAUAUAUCCACAACGUAUACUAUUUUGUAUUCAUCUUCAAAGAACAAGUGAACAGAGAAUCUCUGCUUAUGGUUUAGCUAUUUACUAAUGAAUUUGUUUGAAAUAGUAGGUGUUUAGUUUCAUUUAUAAAGAAAAAUACAUUUUCAUCGUAAUUGUCAGCGUUUAUAAAACAGUCGAUGCCAAAAAAAAUAUUUGGUUGGAAGAUUAUUUAAGUAGACGUGUUUAGUGUCAUUUGUAGAAAAUACAUUUCAUCGCAAAUGUUAACGUUUAUAAAACAAUCGAUCCCUAAAUAAUUUGGCUUGUUUAUUUAUGGAAGAUUGGUUUUGAGACGGAAGGUAAAGAAGAGGAGAAACUGAAGGUAGAGAAUGCGAAUGUUGUGGGGA
rnacentral:lncRNA from 1 species